rnacentral:rRNA from 1 species
GAUGGACGCUGGCGGCGUGCCUAAUACAUGCAAGUCGAGCGAACGGACGAGAAGCUUGCUUCUCUGAUGUUAGCGGCGGACGGGUGAGUAACACGUGGAUAACCUACCUAUAAGACUGGGAUACUUCGGGAAACCGGAGCUAAUACCGGAUAAUAUUUUGAACCGCAUGGUUCAAAAGUGAAAGACGGUCUUGCUGUCACUUAUAGAUGGAUCCGCGCUGCAUUAGCUAGUUGGUAAGGUAACGGCUUACCAAGGCAACGAUGCAUAGCCGACCUGAGAGGGUGAUCGGCCACACUGGAACUGAGACACGGUCCAGACUCCUACGGGAGGCAGCAGUAGGGAAUCUUCCGCAAUGGGCGAAAGCCUGACGGAGCAACGCCGCGUGAGUGAUGAAGGUCUUCGGAUCGUAAAACUCUGUUAUUAGGGAAGAACAUAUGUGUAAGUAACUGUGCACAUCUUGACGGUACCUAAUCAGAAAGCCACGGCUAACUACGUG